rnacentral:misc_RNA from 1 species
CAGCAGCAGCAACAACAAGAGUACGCACAAUUGCAAGGAGAUCACUUGCAAGCAGAAGCAGACGAAGAAGAAGCGGCAGCACAGCUUGAGUUUUAUGACGACAUGGAGGGCAAAGAGCUAAAUGGCGGCAAGAUGUCCACCUCCCAGACAUCAACGACGUCCGCAGCGAACGGUCACAGCGGCAGCAAUCAGGCGAAUGGUGUUGGCAAGAAAACGUCCAUAAUAUCGCCGGAUCCCACUUCAUAUGUGACCAAAGCGCGCGUCACACGUCCCACACCGCCGCCACCGUCCUACAACCCGAUGCAAUUUGUACAGAUCAAACCAUGCAAUCUCUACCAAACCGCACAGGAGCAGCUCAAGAAGGCUGAAGAAGUGAAAAAGAUCAAGGAAAUUAAAAAAGAAGAGCCCGAGGAUUGGCAGAAUAAUUUGGACAAUUGGAAAUCGUCGCGUAGAAAACGUGUCGAACACAUCAUCGAUCGAGUUGUGGAAGUGAAAAAACUCGAAUUGGAAGAACACGACCGGACGCGAAGAAAAUCGAAGACAUUCUCCGAAAUGAUCGAAGAAAGAGGUGAACGUGGUGGACGCGGUCGCGCAAAAUUGGCCUCGUUAGCCGUUUACAAUGAAGACGAAUCGAACGACCUGAGCGACCUUGGCAUUGGCACCAGCAGUGCCAGCGGCAAGAGCAGCCAAUCGGAGGAUUACGACAACAACAGUGUACUGAGUGACAACGCCGAACUCGACAAAGCCAUAUUUGAGAACAACCAAAAACCUAGUGGCAUCCCCGCGCGUGAAUACAUAUCCUCUCCAGGCUACGAUACAUCCUCCAGCACCGCGCCCGGCAGCUCUCCCGAUCCAUGCGAAUAUACUUAUGAGGGCGCCAUUCAAGACUAUAAGCAACGCGUGUCGCGCGCCAGCGGUGGCAGUGCUUUAGCCAAUUUUAAGCUCAAUAAUGCCAACACAAAUCCAGCGUUAAUUUCCAAAAACAACUCCUCGAAAGAAAAUACCCCGGACUGCAGCAAUACAGUACCGAACGAUACUUAUCCCACACGUCGCGGCAGUAAAAUCGAGGAUCGCCUAAUCGGCUUCGAAGUUACUUCGCCCAGUGAUAGUCAAGAGGGUUUGGAGAAGAAAGUUGAUGUACCAAAAAUCGAUAUUUCGAAGCGUAAAGAGAUUUUCGAAAAUCAAAAUGCCAAUUCAGAACCAAAGUUGCUGGUGGGCAAUGGUGGCGCUGGCAACGUAGCUGUGCCACGCGUUACACUGCGCGAUCGCUUCAAGUUGGACGAGAGUGUGGCCAAUAAUAAUGGCGAAGUACACGACUCCACAUUAAAGCGUGAAGUUAAACGCCUAUCAGGCGACAUCACGAGUAUACGAUCGCGUAUGCAAAGCUUAGAGCAACAACAAAAUUUAGUCAAUUCAACGAAUGGCGGCAGCGCCGGUAAGGUACCCAGCGCAAAAUUAGUCGAUAUACCAGUGCCACCAUUGAAGGAUCGUCUGUCUAGUUUACAGAAUGCCGUAACCAAAGAAGAGGUGAGAAAGGCGCCGGUAGCACUUGUUGACGCCCGCCAGCUAGAGAUAAUGAAGAACGAAGAGGAAGAGCGACGCAUGAAACUUAUUGAGAAUGAGAAGAAAGCCGUGCUGGAGGUAAGCAUCAAGGAGGAGGAAGGAGUAGGUGCGCCCGUAUCCCAAACUACGAUGCCACAACAAGUAGUGGUUAAAGUCGAUGCGCCUGAGGAGGAUGUCGAUCGUGACGACAGCGGUAUUCACACCGCCGAUGGCGAAAUCGAAGCCACGGAAAUUUCCGAGCAGGAAGAACAACUGAAUGCGGCUAUUGCAGCGCUGGCACUGGAGGAGCAGCAGCUAACCGAAGCAGCUAAUGCAGUGAACCAAAUAGAAGCGGAGUUUGCCGAACUGUCCACCAGCGCAGUGAACGCCAUCGCCAGCAGCCUGAACACAGGGUCCACCACAAAACCAACUAACGAACAGCCAUGCGAAAUGGAAUUUAGUGUUUAUGUGCAGUAAAGCAAUCUCAAGAAACCGUUAUAUGUCAAAGUUUACAGCGUCUCUCUACUUUACAUGGGAUGGAUCGCAAACCAAUGAUCAACGAAGCUCUUGAAUUGGCGCUGGAAGCAAUUGACAAAGAGACCACAUUCACCUUAAAUGAUACAGCAACAAUAAAAACGACAACCAAAUCAUCCAACACCAAUGCAAGUAACCGUACAAUAACUACAACAAAA